UGUGUACUCCCUCCGUCCAAUUUUUUUUGUCUUAGCUUUAUCUAGAAAUGGAUGUAUCUAAAUACUAAAACUUUACUAGAUACAUUCAUAUCUAAACAAAUCUAAGACAAAAUUUUUUGAAACGGAGGGAGUAGAAG
rfam:Hordeum vulgare subsp. vulgare, WGS project CAJW01000000 data, contig: morex_contig_1633344